GACGAACGCUGGCGGCGUGCCUAAUACAUGCAAGUAGAACGCUGAAGGAGGAGCUUGCUUCUCUGGAUGAGUUGCGAACGGGUGAGUAACGCGUAGGUAACCUGCCUGGUAGCGGGGGAUAACUAUUGGAAACGAUAGCUAAUACCGCAUAAGAGUAGAUGUUGCAUGACAUUUGCUUAAAAGGUGCAAUUGCAUCACUACCAGAUGGACCUGCGUUGUAUUAGCUAGUUGGUGGGGUAACGGCUCACCAAGGCGACGAUACAUAGCCGACCUGAGAGGGUGAUCGGCCACACUGGGACUGAGAAACGGCCCAGACUCCUACGGGAGGCAGCAGUAGGGAAUCUUCGGCAAUGGACGGAAGUCUGAACGAGCAACGCCGCGUGAGUGAAGAAGGUUUUCGGAUCGUAAAGCUCUGUUGUAAGAGAAGAACGAGUGUGAGAGUGGAAAGUUCACACUGUGACGGUAUCUUACCAGAAAGGGACGGCUAACUACGUG
rnacentral:rRNA from 1 species